GCCGUAGGGGGCGAGCGUUGUCCGGAUUUAUUGGGCGUAAAGCGUGCGUAGGCGGCUGCGCAAGUCGGUUGUGAAACCCCGGGGCUCAACCCCGGAACUGCAUCCGAUACUGCGUGGCUAGAGGUAGGUAGGGGAGAUCGGAAUUCCUGGUGUAGCGGUGAAAUGCGCAGAUAUCAGGAGGAACACCGGUGGCGAAGGCGGAUCUCUGGGCCUUACCUGACGCUCAGGCACGAAAGCUAGGGGAGCGAACAGG
rnacentral:rRNA from 1 species